GACGAACGCUGGCGGCGUGCUUAACACAUGCAAGUCGAACGGAAAGGCCCCCACCUUGGUGGGGGUGCUCGAGUGGCGAACGGGUGAGUAACACGUGGGUGAUCUGCCCUGUACUUCGGGAUAAGCUUGGGAAACUGGGUCUAAUACCGGAUAGGACCAUGGUUUAGUGUCUCAUGGUGGAAAAAUUAUUGUUUUGGUGCAGGAUGAGCUCGCGGCCUAUCAGCUUGUUGGUGGGGUAAUGGCCUACCAAGGCGUCGACGGGUAGCCGGCCUGAGAGGGUGGACGGCCACAUUGGGACUGAGAUACGGCCCAGACUCCUACGGGAGGCAGCAGUGGGGAAUAUUGCACAAUGGGCGCAAGCCUGAUGCAGCGACGCCGCGUGGGGGAUGACGGCCUUCGGGUUGUAAACUCCUUUCGUUAGGGACGAAGCCACACCUUUUUUGGGUGUGGUGACG
rnacentral:rRNA from 1 species